AGCGAACGCUGGCGGCAGGCCUAACACAUGCAAGUCGAACGAACUCUUCGGAGUUAGUGGCGGACGGGUGAGUAACACGUGGGAACGUGCCUUUAGGUUCGGAAUAACUCAGGGAAACUUGUGCUAAUACCGAAUGUGCCCUUCGGGGAAAGAUUUAUCGCCUUUAGAGCGGCCCGCGUCUGAUUAGCUAGUUGGUGAGGUAAAGGCUCACCAAGGCGACGAUCAGUAGCUGGUCUGAGAGGAUGAUCAGCCACAUUGGGACUGAGACACGGCCCAAACUCCUACGGGAGGCAGCAGUGGGGAAUCUUGCGCAAUGGGCGAAAGCCUGACGCAGCCAUGCCGCGUGAAUGAUGAAGGUCUUAGGAUUGUAAAAUUCUUUCACCGGGGACGAUAAUGACGGUACCCGGAGAAGAAGCCCGGCUAACUUCGUGCCAGCAGCCGCGGUAAU
rnacentral:rRNA from 1 species